rnacentral:misc_RNA from 1 species
UUCUCCUCAUCAAAUUCUUCCCUGUGAGAAAUCAAUAGAAUAAAACAUUUAGUUGCUAAUCUGACAUCAGGACAGAAAAAAAAAUCAGCCAUAAAAUAUUACAUUAAAUCUGAAAAUCAAAUUCUUUAUAACAGUCGCAUUUUAUGCACAGGUUUCAGGCAGCAAUGCAUUGUUGUCACUGAACUGGUCUCUAAUUAGUCUUUAAAACAUCACAGCCAUUCUAAAUGGAUAACUAUAAAAGAAGAUAACUUCUAAUGGUCCACUAAAAUGGAUCGCAACCACUGUGUCACUUCAAAAGAAAAUUCAAUCCAAGACUCUAAACCACAAGACAACUUAAGAAACAUUUAACUAAUGAAACCAUCCUCCCUCAAAAUCAAAUACAAACAUAUCAUUCAACUUGACCGGCAAAGUAAACAAAUUUUAAUAUUCUUCAUUGCCACUAUCAUCAUCAUCAUCAUCACAGAGCCAAUAAGUUACACCGCACGAUACAAAAUAAUUAGGGCUAUUUUCUAAGCUCUGAAGAAACACCUGAACCCAUGUCAUUUAAUCAUCAGAAAAGAAAGUGUAAUCUAAGAGGGUAAGUUUAGGGGCAAAAAAUUAAAAAAAAAAUAAACAAGUAACAAAUUGAUCUGAUCAUUAGUAAGGAGAACAAUUUAAGAAACUAUAUGUGUGGCAUCAUGAACUUCUAGAUUGCAUGUGCACCUUUUUCAACUUCCAGAACAAGUUAAUACAGAAGCUCUCCAAUCACCAUCCAUAACCAGGCCAAUGAUAUUAGUAGGACAAAGAUGAAAAAGAAGCAAAGCAGAAUGCAAAACUUUUCUAUUGAGACCAUCCACAUCCUCGAACCAAAAAUAGAUACAGAAACCUUUCUCAAGCAUAACGUGAAAAGGAAUGAAACAAUAAGAUAAAACCAAACCUAUGCUUGAUAUAGAUAU